GAGCACUGUUCGCAACCUGUCAGCCUUGUUGUACUUGGUGGGUUCCAUUUUAGUACAACAGGAUUUCCAGUGACAUAUGACUGAUUGACUGGCUGGCUGGUGGCUUUCAGUUUCAGGUCUUGGAGACAACA
ensembl:snoRNA